UUUAUGAUAAUAACUUAUAACGAUGAAUGUUUGUAACGAUGAAUAUUUAUAAGAAUAUAUAUAUGAUGAUGCAUGAUGAACAUAUAUUCAUAUGAACGAAAGAUUUAAUAUUCAAAAUAAUAGGAAGAACGUUACUUAGCUCUGAUACCAAAUUUAAAAUAACAUGAUGAAGGAUUAAUUGCUCUCAUACCAAAUUUAAAGACAUGACGGAAUUAAUAAAGAUUAAGAGAAGAUUAUACAUGAAUGAUGCGGUGGAUUAUAUUGAUGAUGGAUUAUGUUGAAUAAUUGGAUGGUUAUGUGGAUAAUUUGGAUAGAACUCUGCUAUUCAGAAAUAUAACAACUAUUUCAACAGAGAAGACAAUUGAGAUCAACUCAAGUCUUAAACACUCAAACUUAACUUGUUUAUUUCAUAUGGGCAAAGGCCCUAUUUAUAGGCUCAAGAGAGCCGGUUACAAUUAUUGUUGUAAUCGUUUGAUUGCAAUACGACAUACAUAUUUACAUUAUAGCCCCAUAGACUAUUGAGGGCUACACACUUUAAGUUUGGCAAUUACAAUUACAUCAAUUUCACCCAUACCUCAAGUAUAUCAAAAGUGCCAACAACCACAUAGCAGACACACUAACAAGUGAAUGGAAGCCAUCAUAAAGCAACCCAGAUAAGAAGCAACACUAUUCAUGGAAGACUAACACAAGAAUUAAAAAAUAUCUGCUUUUUCGGAGGCGGGAGGAAUGACGUAAGCAAUGACAUAGAAAGCCAUUAUUGAAGAUUAACGGGAGGAAUAACGUAAGCAAUGACGUAAAAAGCCAUUAUUGAAGACACCUAAUGACGUAAGCAAUGAAGUAAAAAGCCAUUAUUGUAGACACCUGUCUUUUCAAUGUGGAAGGGAUUAUUUUAUUUUUAAUUAUGUAAAGUGUUGGUAGAAUUAUUUGUAUUUGUCGGUAGGAUAAUUAUUAAGUGUCGGUUGUAUUAUUUUUGAUGUAACACAAAGUGUGUAACCCUCAAUAGUCUAGGGGGCUAUAAUGUAAAUAUGUAUAUCGUAUUGCAAUCAAACGAUUGCAACAAUAAUUGUAACCGACUCUCUUGAGCCUAUAAAUAGGGCCUUUGCCCAUAUGAAAUAAACAAGUUAAGUUUGAGUGUUUAAGACUUGAGUUGAUCUCAAUUGUCUUCUCUGUUGAAAUAGUUGUUAUAUUUCUGAAUAGCAGAGUUCUAUCCAAAUUAUCCACAUAACCAUCCAAUUAUUCAACGUAAUCCAUCAUCAAUAUAAUCCACUGCAUCAUUCAGGUAUAAUCUUAUCUUAAUCUUUCUUAAUUCCGUCAUGUUGUUAAAUUUGAUAUCAGAGCAAUUAAUCCGUCAUCAUGUUAUUUUGAAUUUGGUAUCAGAGCUAAGUAACGUUCUUACUAUUAUUUUGAAUGUUAAAUCUUUCAUUCAUAUGAAUAUUAAUCGUUACAAACAUUCAUCGUUAUAAGUUAUAAACUCAUUAUUAAAAUCAAAUAUUAUUAUCCACCUACAAUUUAAACAUAUGUCGGUAGAAGUUUUUUUACAAUUAUGACUACGUACCAAGAAGUUAGAAAUACAUUUCAUAUGUCAAAAAAGUUUUUAAUUCUCUGACUGCAUCAUAAAUAUAAUAGUAUUAAAAACCCCACCAUCAACAUCUUAUUAGAAUUUAUAAAUCAUAACUUUGAGAAAAAAACUUAUCAUUUUGUUUCUAAAAAUUAUAAUCAUAAGUUUUUCAAAUUUAAAUAUUAACAAAUAAAAAAUCUUGAAAAUAAAAUAACAAGAAUAAUUUAUAAAUAUGUCUCAAGAAAUAGAACAUACACCAAUCAUUAUUAAUAACGAAGAAAAUGAAUCGGGAUACACUUUUGAUGCUCUAAUUAAUAAAAAUAAUAUUAAUAAAGAUGCUAUAAGAAAAUUAAAUUUUACACUAUCUGAAAAACAUAAUUUUAAAUAUAACUCAUUGAGAGAAGAUUAUACAUGAAUGAUGUCGUGGAUUAUAUUGAUGCUGGAUUAUGUUGAAUGAUUGGAUGAUUAUGUGGAUAAUUUGGAUAGGGCUCUGCUAUUUAGAAAUAGAACAACUAUUUCAACAGAGAAGACAAUUGAGAUCAACUCAAGUCUUAAACACUUUCAUAUGGGCAAAGGCCUAUUUAUAGGNAUCAAGAGAGUCGGUUACAAUUAUUGUUGCAAUCGUUUGAUUGCAAUACGACAUACAUAUUUACAUUAUAGCCCCCUAAACUAUUGAGGGUUACACACUUUAUGUUACAUCACAAAUAAUACAACCGACACUUAAUAAUUAUCCUACCGACACUUCUAUUUAAUUACGUAAAAAUAACAAUCCUUAAUUUAAGACACAUGUCCUUUCAACGUGGAAGGGAUUGUUAUUUUUACGUAAUUAAAUAGAAGUCUCGGUAGGAUAAUCAUUAAGUGUCCGUUGUAUUAUUUGUGAUGUAACAUAAUGUGUGUAACCCACAAUAGUUUAGGGGGCUAUAAUGUAAAUAUGUAUGUCGUAUUGCAAUCAAACGAUUGCAACAAUAAUUGUAACCGGCUCUCUUGAGCAUCAAAAGAGUAUUCCAGUUCAUUUUCUUCGUUAUUAAUAAUGAUGGGUGUAUAUUUUAUUUCUUGAGACAUAUUUAAUAAAUUAUUCUUGUUAUUUUGUCUUCAAGAUUUUUUCUUCGUUAAUAUUUAAACUUGAAAAACUCAUGAUUAUAAUUUUUAAAAAUGAUAAUUUAUUUUUUCUUCCAAAGUUACGAUUUAUAAAUUCUAAUAAGAUGUUGAUGGUGGGGUUUUUUAAUACUAUUAUAUUUAUGAUGAAGUUAGAGAACUAAAAACCUCUUUGACAUAUGAAAUGUGUUUCUAACUUCUUGGUACAUAGUCAUAAUUGUAAAAAACCUUCUACCGACAUAUGUUUAAAUUGUAGGUGGAUAGUAGUAUUUGAUUUUAAUAAUGAGUUUAUGAUAAUAACUUAUAACGAUGAAUGUUUGUAACGAUGAAUAUUUAUAAGAAUAUAUAUGAUGAUGCAUGAUGAACAUAUAUUCAUAUGAACGGAAGAUUUAAUAUUCAAAAUAAUAGUAAGAACGUUACUUAGCUCUGAUACCAAAUUUAAAAUAACAUGAUGACAGAUUAAUUGCUUUCAUACCAAAUUUAAAGCGAUGACGGAAUUAAUAAAGAUUAAGAGAAUAUUAUACCUGAAUAAUGCGGUGGAUUAUCUUGAUGAUGGAUUAUGUUGAAUAAUUGGAUGGUUAUGUGGAUAAUUUGGAUAGAACUCUGCUAUUCAGAAAUAGAACAACUAUUUCAACAGAGAAGACAAUUGAGAUCAACUCAAGUCUUAAACACUCAAACUUAAAUUGUUUAUUUCAUAUGGGCAAAGGCCCGAUUCAUAGGCUCAAGAGAGCCGGUUACAAUUAUUGUUGCAAUCGUUUGAUUGCAAUACGACAUACAUAUUUAUAUUAUAGCCCCCUAGACUAUUGAGGGUUACACACUUUAAGUUUGGCAAUUACAAUUACAUCAAUCUCACCCAUACCUCAAGUAUAUCAAAAGUGCCAACAACCAUAUAGCAGACACACUAACAAGAGAAUGGAAGCCAUCAUAAAGCAACCCAGAUAAGAAGCAACACUAUUCAUGGAAGACUAACACAAGAAUUAAAAAAUAUCUGCUUUUUUGGAGGCGGGAGGAAUCACGCAAGCAAUGCCAUAAAAAGCCAUUAUUGAAGAUUAACGGGAGGAAUAACGUAAGCAAUGACGUAAAAAGCCAUUAUUGAAGACACCUAAUGACGUAAUCAAUGACGUAAAAAGCCAUUAUUGAAGACACCUGUCUUUUCAAUGUGGAAGGGAUUAUUAUAUUUUUAAUUAUGUAAAGUGUUGGUAGAAUUAUUUGUAUUGUCGGUAGGANAAUUAUUAAGUGUCGGUUGUAUUAUUUGUGAUGUAACAUAAAGUGUGAAACCCUCAAUAGUCUAGGGGGCUAUAAUGUAAAUAUGUAUGUCGUAUUGCAAUCAAACGAUUGCAACAAUAAUUGUAACCGGCUCUCUUGAGCCUAUAAAUAGGGUUUUCGCAUAUAUGAAAUAAACAAGUUAAGUUUGAGUGUUUGAGACUUGAGUUGAUCUCAAUUGUCUUCUAUGUUGAAAUAGUUGUUCUAUUUCUGAAUAGUAGAGUUCUAUCCAAAUUAUCCACAUAAUCAUCCAAAUAUUCAACAUAAUCCAUCAUCAAUAUAAUCCACCGCAUCAUUUAGGUAUAAUCUUAUCUUAAUCUUUCUUAAUUCCGUCAUGUUGUUAAAUUUGGUAUCAGAGCAAUUAAUCCAUCAUCAUGUUAUUUUAAAUUUGGUAUAAGAGCUAAGUAACGUUCUUACUAUUAUUUUGAAUAUUAAAUCUUUCAUUCAUAUGAAUAUAUGUUCAUCAUGCAUCAUCAUAUAUAUUCUUAUAAAUAUUCAUCGUUACAGACAUUCAUCGUUAUAAGUUAUAAACUCAUUAUUAAAAUCAAAUAUUAUUAUCCACCUACAAUUUAAACAUAUGUCGG
rnacentral:lncRNA from 1 species